UACGGAGGGGGCUAGCGUUGUCCGAAGUUACUGGGCGUAAAGCGCGCGUAGGCGGGUUGGUAAGUCCGCUGUGAAAGCCCGGAGCUCAACUCCGGAGGGUCGGUGGAUACUGCCAGUCUUGAAGGUGCUAGGGGGAGAUGGAAUUACCGGUGUAGCGGUGAAAUGCGUAGAUAUCGGUAGGAACACCAGUGGCGAAGGCGGUCUCCUGGGGAAUUCUUGACGCUGAGGCGCGAAAGCUGGGGGAGCAAACAGG
rnacentral:rRNA from 1 species